GAGGCAAAAUUUGGGAUUGGGUUAGUCUUCUUUAGGAUAAUAUUGUUUUGCUAAUCUCUCUUAAUUAUCAUUAGACUACCGAAUUGAUAGAAUCAAUUGCAUAAUUAUACUAUAAUAGGUAAUUUGUUCUUGGUUGUUGUUACUAUAUAGGUUUGAAAGAACAAAAGCUUCAAUGAAAGAAAGAAAGAAAGGUGAAGACAAAGUUUUUUGUGAGAAUUCGCUACACAACUGCAAGUCGUAUAGAGACAAUUUAUCCUCAGGGAUUCCAAGUCUUCAUUGAGAAGUUCAUACUGUCAUACUGCCAUGUCAUUUGGAAAAGCUGGAUUAAUAGACAUAUUUUCAAGAUUUUUAUUGUCAACAAAGAAAUCAGUGAACUGGUCAUCAUGGUGGUUGUUAAUUGCUACUUGAAGGAGCUGGUUAUUGACAUCAUCAAUGUUGUUAGAAUGCUGCAGAUGCUCGUGGCUCGGGUGGUUAGUAAAGAACACGCCAUCACUUACACAGCUAGUAAUGCUACUUUCUUGAGAGAAAUAGUGAAAGUUAUUGUUAGCUUCUUGAUGAUCAUCAGCUAAUUGUGGAUGAUCAGUCCCAUAGCUUGAGCCAGCAUUAUCGCUAGCAUUCAUCGAGAACAUGCCAUGAUCACCAUGCAAUUGAAGCAUGAAAUCUGCAGUUUCAGUACUUGAGAAUAAUUUGCUCAAUGACUCCCAUUCUUCAUCAAAAAAAGCUCCCACAUGCUCCAUUUCUUUUUCGGUUAAGUGUGUGUAUGUUUCUAAUAUUGAUGGCCUAAUGGGUGUUAGGCCAAGAGAGAAUGACUUUACUAAAUAUUAUUCAGUUGAUAUACUGACAAAAUAAGCUUUUGAGGGUGGUCUCACACUUGGAAUGAGCUAAAAGUUGGGGACAUUUAUACGAGAAAAGGUUACAAAGGAAUUGGAAGAAUGUUUAGAAAAGGAUUAAAUUGAUUU